UACGGGGGGGGCAAGCGUUGUUCGGAAUUACUGGGCGUAAAGGGCUCGUAGGCGGCCAACUAAGUCAGACGUGAAAUCCCUCGGCUUAACCGGGGAACUGCAUCUGAUACUGGAUGGCUUGAGUUCGGGAGAGGGAUGCGGAAUUCCAGGUGUAGCGGUGAAAUGCGUAGAUAUCUGGAGGAACACCGGUGGCGAAGGCGGCAUCCUGGACCGACACUGACGCUGAGGAGCGAAAGCCAGGGGAGCAGACGGG
rnacentral:rRNA from 1 species